rnacentral:rRNA from 1 species
UAGGGAAUAUUGGGCAAUGGAGGCAACUCUGACCCCAGCCAUGCCGCGUGAAGGAUGAAGGGGCUCUGCUUGUAAACUUCUUUUGUAUGGGGCGAAAAAAGGGAUUGCGAGGUAAAUUGACGGUACCAUAAGAAUAAGCACCGGCUAACUCCGUGCCAGCAGCCGCGGUAAUACGGAGGGUGCGAGCGUUAUCCGGAAUCACUGGGUUUAAAGGGUGCGUAGGCUGUUUAAUAAGUCAGUGGUGAAAGGCCGUCGCUUAACGAUGGGACUGCCAUUGAUAUUGUUAGACUUGAGUGGGAUUGAGGUAGGGCGGAAUGUAUCAUGUAGCGGUGAAAUGCGUAGAUAUGCUACAGAACACCGAUUGCGAAGGCAAGUUACUAAGUCAUAACUGACGCUAAUGGACGANAGCGUGGGUAGCGAACAGGAUUAGAUACCCUGGUAGUCCACACUGUAAACGAUGAUAACU